rnacentral:rRNA from 1 species
AAGGUGAGGCCGGAAGGCGUAGCCGAUGCACAGACGGUAGAGAUUCCGUCACCACCAAAAGAGUUAAGCACAGGGACACAUUUGAAGUCUCAGAGCCGGGUGUUGGUUCCGGUAGAGAUCGAGGGAAGUUAGUACCGAAGUCUGAGAUGGAAGAUGGCGAGAAAAGCUGUGUGUAUUUCUGAGGUGCCCGUACCGCAAACCGACACAGGUAGGUAGGAAGAAGAUUCUAAGGCCAACGGGAGAAGGGUUGUUAAGGAACUCGGCAAAUUGAC